rnacentral:rRNA from 1 species
GACGAAGGAUGCAAGCGUUAUCCGGAUUCAUUGGGUUUAAAGGGAGCGUAGGUGGCCUUAUAAGUCAGUGGUGAAAUCUCUGGGCUUAACCCAGAAAUUGCCAUUGAUACUGUAGGGCUUGAGUAUAGAUGCCGUUGGCGGAAUAUGACAUGUAGUGGUGAAAUGCGUAGAGAUCGGCAGGAACACCAGUGGCGAAGGCGGCCACCUAGCCCGCACCUGACGCUGAGGCGCGACAGCGUGGGGAGCGAACUGG